rnacentral:sRNA from 1 species
GUGUGACCGUUUGUCUGUGGAUAUCGAUGGUUCGCGCCAGCGGAAUCGAACUUAUCGGAACGGAUGAAAGGGCGGUCACACCGGCGCAAUGGUCAUCUCUAAGUUAUCGUAACGAAAAUAUAGUUCUGUUGUUCUAAUAAUUUUAGUAGAAAGCAAAUCUUCUAUUAAAUCAUUGGCAUCAAUUUAAAUAAACGCAUGUUUCAGUAACCUACUGUAAUAUAAAGCAAAAGUACAUACAUAU